rnacentral:tRNA from 1 species
UGGUUUGUAGCUUAAUGGCAGAGCCUCUGAAUUAAAUUCAGAUAGUGCAAGUUCGACUCUUGCCAAACCAA